UAUGAAGACAGUUUAGUUUGUCAGAAUGAAGCGGCGAGGGGGAAGCUGGGAACUGGAGAAUGGCAAAUGGGAGGCGCACUCAAGCGUCCUGGUGUCAGGAUUCCACGGUGGUCGGUUGGCAUGCAUCUGUUUAGAAGAAGUGAAGCUGAAUAACAGAAUAUCUGCUUUCAGUCUUCUCAUCUGACGGGUCUCUACCAGCGAAGGUCUGUCUUCUUUAAAGCUGUGAUUCAUAGAUGUUCACAUUCCUAAUUAAGACUUAGCUCGUCCCUUUUUGCGCCAACUGUGUGUCAUAGUAAAAGAAAAAUAAACAGGUCUGAGUUAUCCAUUCUCCACCAGGUUGUAAAAUUACUUAAAGUGUACAAACCACAUGACUAAAGAUCGAUGUGUAAUUAUUCCCUAAGCAAAGACAAACUGGAAAAAGUUUAAUUGUAAUUCUCGCUAUUACGAUUCAAAGUGCGUCCUCCUUUUCCGUGACUGUUAAUCAGAAUCUAAGUUCGCUUUUCACGGAGGUCGGCUGGUCAUAAAGUUCUGCUGGUUGACAUGUAACUCCUCUGUAUGGAUCCAGUUUCGUUGGCCUUUAACACUCUGAGCUGCUCAGAUCCUGAACUCAUGAUGCAGAUCAGUUUCAUGUGACUCAUAUUUCUUUGCUCGUAUGCAUCAACCUUUAACCAGUUUCAGGUGAAAUGCAGGAAAUGAUUGGGGGCAAAAAUGGUGUCGCAUCUUUUUAUUUUCUACAAUAUAUAUAUUUUUUUAUCAGAACAGAAGCAUGUUUAAAGACACAUUACAAUUAACACACAUUACAAGUGACCAUAAAGCCACCCUUGAAAAUGUGUCAAAAUAAUAAUACACUAUCUAACUUAUUAGAUGGCGAGUAGAUAAAAUAUAUAUGUUUUUUUAUUUGAUUUUUAAAGAUAUUUCUUGUAAAAUGUGUGAAACCUCAGACCUUGUGGGGGAACAUUGAGUCCAGUCAUGCCUUUGAAGUCGACUUCAAAGGCAUGAAGUUAUUUUAAUUUUACUUAUAGAGCACAUCUCAUGCCAUAAACAUAAACUCACUAUGUUUAAAAGGAAAUGUACAUAUUAAGGCAAGCAAUGACGAUAACAUAUCAAGCACAUCUUUGAAAUAUGUAUGCCCGUUUUGAUGCUGAAAGCUGCAGAUCGUCUGUAUUUUUGUCCCUCUUGCGACGUCAUCGACUCACUGAAAUAAAGCAGAAUGAGCUGGUCUGUCUUCAGUGCGGUUUUCAAGAGGUUUUGUAUUUUGUAAAAUCGUGCAGGAAAAAUUCAUGCUUCAUUGUCCCACUAUGCACUGUCCACAUGUCAAUGAGGGAAUUUAAAACUAUGCGGUAACAGAUUCAAGAGCAAAGCAGAUGAUUUGGAGAAGUUCUAAAAUAAUUUUCAUCUUGGAAACUUCAGCUUUCGUCUCCUUUGACGUCACGCUUACCAGUUGAACAAAUCAGAUUCUUUGUGUUCUGAAUUUUUGACCCACUGAUUUUUAACAGAGCGUGUUACAGACAUCCUGGGUAAUCUGAUUCCUCUCUGUAAGCAUCAUUACUGCUCUCAUCUGCUGAAACAUUUGAGGAGGAAACGCACAGAGCCCUCUGAGCCCUGCCCUCUCAUUCAGCAUGCCGUGACUCACUUCCUUCCUGGGUUUCUCAAAUCAGAAACAUAUCCCUACGGCGCAUAAAACUCAACAAUGGCACUGGUUCAGGACGUCCCGGCUGACGGGAUUAUCAUGGAGGAGACUUUGCCUCAGUGUGUGGAUGGGAUCUUCUCAUAUUGCCACCUGCAGGUCAGCAGCGAUUUUGCAGUGGGAAGUCGUAACGCCAGAGAGGUAAAGACUGGAUCUGCAUUUGGUUCUUCCACUGAAGCUUCAUCCAGUGUCUUCAACGUUUCAACUUUGAACACAUCAGGUGUUUAAAGGUGGAUGGAGCUGUAAGACUCACCUUUUGUCCUUCCUGGCUGCCAUGUCUGCACCUCCGUACCUGAGCAUUGUGCGUUAGUGUGUGACAUGAGCCAGCACAUUACAGGUAAGUCAGAGGACAGACUGGCUUGUUGGGACUACAGAGUUUCCUGUCUUAAGCAUGCUUACAGUAACCCAGCGUGUCUGUCUGGCUACCGGCUCUUGUGAAGAACAGACCUGCUGGGCAAACAUACUGCAAACACGACAUCAAAGCUCCGGUAUGGGCGGAUCCCUCAUCCCUGCUCCCAAAUCUGAUCCGGAAAACAUUUUAGAUUCAUCUCAUUUAUCCCCCUUGUGUCUUGCCUGGUGCGGUUCAGCGCUCUGGUGUGAAAGCUCACCAGGGUCCAAGGCUUUCUUGGAUGCUGUGCUUGCCCUGGAAAAGCUCGGAGGACGAUUUCAAACUGAAGCAUAUCCAGUUAGUUGUGAAGAGGAGGCGAGCUCUUAUCAGAAACGGAGAUAUUUUAUAUUUUGGGAUGUUUGCUCCCUUUUCUUGGCAGAGUUGUUGUAGUUCAUCCAGUUGGCUUCCUGGUGCUGAUCUGGCUUUCGGCAGAAAUCAUAAAAGCAAGAAAAUAAGUUAUCUUGCUUUAUCCUUCCCAAAACGAGCUUGGUGUGUGUUUUGGAUUCAUUUAACUACUGAAUAACCCUGUGUUGUCUAAGUUUCAGCCUCUUAUAGCUGUUGUUCUCAGCUAAAGUGGGAGAAUCGGGAGUUAGACUAUUGAUCUAACUCAACUGCAUGAAGUCAACUGUCAUGCAGCUUUUUUGGUUGAACAUCUUACUUUGACUCUUCAAAACGUUUUUCAGUUUUUCAAUUUUUGCCUUGUCUGACUAUAGCACACAUCAGUAAAGCUUAAAAGUUUAGAGUUUGAAGAAGAGACUUCUUUCUUUGCCUCACCUUACUCUGGAAACAGACGCUGGUGUUUCAGCAUCCUCCAGUUCAUGUCGUGCUUGGGCGGACAUUUUUUUCUUCCCCCCUUUCUACCAAAUUGGUCUUUAGACAGAGCCAGCUACCAGCUGGUUCUAGUCCUGGGUUUGGGUAAACACAGGAAAAAACCUGCAUUGUGACCUUUCAAACCAACUUUCUUUCAUCCAAAGGAACAUAGUCUGAGUUGAAACGUCUGGCUUUCUAGCUGGAGAAAGAUUGGAACCAUGAUUAAGAGCAGACUUUGGAAUCAGUCUAACAUUAAUCUUCAGCAAUGGCUUCCGACAUCAAACCUACUGAAGUUUGUAAACUGUGUGUAAAAGAUUUGGAGGGAACCAAAUCGAAGUUCACCAAAUCUGCCUGUAGACAGACCCGGUAUCCAUCUACAAUUAUACCAAAAACUCAUUGAUAAUCUUUACAGAUUAAGUCAUAAUCUGUAAAGAUUAUGACGGAGGUACAACUCCCUAAAGGGUGUCAGGUUGGGGAUAUUUGUGCCUGUAUUCAGUGGUGUAAAGGAAAUGACAAAUUUACAAUAAAGUAUUCUCACUUUU